UGCUGUAGAAAGCCUUGCUUGUGUUUUGUGUAUAAAAAUGAAGAGAGCUCCUCGUGUGGACAGAGGGUCGCACUGAAAGAUGCUAAAAGGGUGUUAUUUACGUGUCCGCUAGCCUUUAAUACUUGCGUAUAGAACAACGGUUCCGGAAUGCUCUUUUGUGUAAUAUAUUGCUGAUCCAUUAACUAACAAAUUAUAGUUGUCAGUUUCCACUUAAUGAUCAAAUCUUAAAUAGGAGAGUAGUUUUUUCUCUCUUAAUGGUAACAUGAACUAAGGUCUUAAUCGACAUCACAAUAAAACGUCUGGAACUGGAGGUGACCCUUCGAAAAAGGUGUACUACACCACAUUUGAGGAGCAACUGCUGCCGUACAUCCACGGAGACAGUGUCAGUGGUGUUGCCGGCAUCUAUGAUUCUGACAGGAAUGUCGGCAAAGGUGGCCAACGGUGCUCUGCAGGACUGAGCUCCACUCUACCCACCGAGAUGAUUCUGAAAUGGAAGCAAAGAGAUUAAGUGGGGAUGAAAGUGACAUCAAUGUGCAUUGAUGUUGCACUUUUUUCAGAGCAUGAGCCCUCCUAAACUCCCCAACAACACCAAGUCACACAGAAGCCCAAACCCGCCCAAAAAAUGGAAGCUGAGAAAGAUCGCUUCCACAGAUCACUAAUACAGCACAUCAAGUCGUGGAUGAAAAAAUGCACACUGUCCAUCUUGACUUGUGUGUUGCCACCAAAGCCUAUAAUGACAGUCAGGCACAACAAGCUGCAUAUGAGGCAGCUAUGUUAACCCUGCAUCAGAAGCACUUGAAGGUCCAACAAGAAAAAGUGGCAUUGUUGGAAAAUCAAAAUUUACUCUUAGCCAAACAAAAUGUCCUUAUUGAGAGCAUGACACAUGCCCAAAAGGAAAUGAACACAAACUUAAUAAGUGUUCUACUUCUAGAGAUAGUGCUGAUACUUCAGCAACCACUUCUGAAGCUCCCAGUAGACAGCUGCGUAAAAAAAAAAAAUGUGCCUGUAUUUUCAAGUCAUCUUUGAUUUUUUUUUUUAAGUGGCAAAUUUUGUAUUAAGCAAUAAUAUUGAUACACAUUAGUUCUAGGUGCUUUGCAAAUAAACAUUUCUCUUUUUGCU